GUCAUAUUCCAGCGUGUCAAUCUUAGACAGCACCUGCCUUCUUGAGGAGGUCUGGCAGCUCGCUCUUCUUGCCCUGCAGCUCGGAGUUUCCGCCAAUGUGCUUGUGGUCGAUGAAGAUGUUUGGGACGGAGCGCUGGUUGGUGAUCUCCUGGAGGGCGUCCUGAAUGGCGGCACCGUCGUCAACUUGAUCGAGCUCGAUGAUGUAUGGCUUUGCGCCUAACUCGCUCAAAAGAGACUUAGUCGCCUUGCAGUAUGGGCAGUACGACUUGGAGAAGACAGCAACAGAGUUGCUGUCAAUGAUCU
rnacentral:misc_RNA from 1 species